rnacentral:misc_RNA from 1 species
GAUGAAGAACGCAGCGAAAUGCGAUAAGUAAUGUGAAUUGCAGAAUUCAGUGAAUCAUCGAAUCUUUGAACGCACAUUGCGCCCGCCAGUAUUCUGGCGAGCAUGCCUGUUCGAGCGUCAUUUCAACCAUCAAGCCCCAGGCUUGUGUUGGAGCCCUGCGGCUGCCGCAGCCUCCCAAAACCAGUGGCGGGCUCGUCGUCGUACCGAGUGCAGUAAACAUCCUCGCUCAGGGAACGUGACGGGUUCUUGCCGUGAAACCCCCCACAUAUCAAGGUUGACCUCGGAUCAGGUAGGAAUACCCGCUGAACUUAAGCAUAUCAAUAAGCGGAGGA